rnacentral:rRNA from 1 species
UACAGAGGGUGCGAGCGUUGUCCGGAAUCACUGGGCGUAAAGAGCGUGUAGGCGGUUUGGUAGGUCCGCUGUGAAAACUCGGGGCUCAACCUCGAGACGCCGGUGGAAACCAUCAGACUAGAGUCCGGAAGAGGAGAGUGGAAUUCCUGGUGUAGCGGUGAAAUGACGCAGAUAUCAGGAAGAACACCCGUGGCGAAAGCGGCUCUCUGGAACGGUACUGACGCUGAGACGCGAAAGCGUGGGGGAGCGAAACAGG